UACGUAGGGUGCAAGCGUUAAUCGGAAUUACUGGGCGUAAAGCGUGCGCAGGCGGUUUUGUAAGUCUGUCGUGAAAUCUCCGGGCUCAACCCGGAAAAUGCAUUGAAUACUAUCGGGCUGGAGGUUUGGAGGGGAGACUGGAAUUCCUGGUGUAGCGGUGAAAUGCGCAGAUAUCAGGAGGAACACCGGUGGCGAAGGCGGGUCUCUGGGCCGAAACUGACGCUGAGGAGCGAAAGCGUGGGGAGCAAACAGG
rnacentral:rRNA from 1 species